rnacentral:rRNA from 1 species
GGAGGUACUCGAGUGGCGAACGGGUGAGUAACACGUGGGUGAUCUGCCUUGCACUCUGGGAUAAGCUUGGGAAACUGGGUCUAAUACCGGAUAGGAACCGUCUUUAGUGUGGUGGUUGGAAAGUUUUUCGGUGCAAGAUGAGCUCGCGGCCUAUCAGCUUGUUGGUGGGGUAAUGGCCUACCAAGGCGUCGACGGGUAGCCGGCCUGAGAGGGUGUACGGCCACAUUGGGACUGAGAUACGGCCCAG